rnacentral:rRNA from 1 species
UGGGAAUUUGGACAAUGGGCGAAGCCUGAUCCAGCAAUGCCGCGUGUGUGAAGAAGGCCUUCGGGUUGUAAAGCACUUUUGUCCGGAAAGAAAUCCUUGGCUCUAAUACAGUCGGGGGAUGACGGUACCGGAAGAAUAAGCACCGGCUAACUACGUGCCAGCAGCCGCGGUAAUACGUAGGGUGCAAGCGUUAAUCGGAAUUACUGGGCGUAAAGCGUGCGCAGGCGGUUUGCUAAGACCGAUGUGAAAUCCCCGGGCUCAACCUGGGAACUGCAUUGGUGACUGGCAGGCUAGAGUAUGGCAGAGGGGGGUAGAAUUCCACGUGUAGCAGUGAAAUGCGUAGAGAUGUGGAGGAAUACCGAUGGCGAAGGCAGCCCCCUGGGCAAUACUGACGCUCAUGCACGAAAGCGUGGGGAGCAAACAGGAUUAGAUACCCUGGUAGUCCACGCCCUAAACGAUGUCAACUAGUUGUUGGGGAUUCAUUUCCUAGUAACGUAGCUAACGCGUGAAGUUGACCGCCUGGGGAGUAC